CCCUUAGAUGUUCUGGGCCGCACGCGUGCUACACUGAUGCAUUCAACGAGUCUAAAACCUGGUCUGAUAGGGCUGGGUAAUCUUUUGAAAGUGCAUCGUGAUUGGGAUAGAUGAUUGCAAUUCUUCAUCUUCAACGAGGAAUGCCUAGUAAACGCAAGUCAUCAGCUUGCAUUGAUUACGUCCCUGCCCUUUGUACACACCGCCCGUCGCUACUACUGAUUGGAUGUUUAAGCGAGGUUCUCGAACUGCUAGCGACUUAGCUUCGGUGAGGUCGCAGUGUGGGAAGUGAACCUAGCUUUGGUGUCUAGAGGAAGUAAAAGUCGUAACA
rnacentral:rRNA from 1 species